GAGAGACAGCUGGUGGGAGAAGAGAGAGAGAGAGAGAGAGAGAGAGAGAGAGAGAGAGAGAAAUACAGCUGAGCAAGUGAUGCCGACUGAGUAGAGUUUAGGCAAGAGACAAUCAAGGGUCUAGGGUGGAGGAGGCAUUGCGUGGAAUCUCGUUGGAGAACAGACACGGACGGGAAGGGUUGAGAAGGAGGGACCGUCACUACAAAGCAAAAUGGAUCGGAGGCAAGAGAUCAGGAGGACCCGCUUCUCGAGCCCGAUCUGCAAUAAGGACCGUUACACCAUAGACUGGCUAAUGUAUUUCACAUGAAUUCGAAUUUGACAACCAUUUUAGUUUGAAACCGUCCAACCAAAUAGAAAUCAUAAGAUUCACGGGGGUUCAGUGCAAUAUCAACAAUAUCCUAGCCACCUUCUUCUACAUCUGUUAUUGUGAGUGUGGCCAAAGCCGACUCCUCCAUGGUGGGUCAUGGUGGUUCCCCAAUGUCAGUUACAAAGAACAUGCCAAAGGGCAGACCUUAAGAGACAUACGUGCCAAA